UCCUCGGUAGUGUAGUGGUAAGUAUCCCCGCUUGUCACGUGGGAGACCGGGUUUCAAUUCUCCACCGGGGAG